GAUGAACGCUGACAGAAUGCUUAACACAUGCCAGUCAUUGGCGAAGCUGCGCUUGCGCAGUCUAGCCAAGGCGGACGGGUGAGUAACGCGUAAGGAACUUGCCCUGCAGACAGGGAUAACAGACGGAAACGACUGAUAACACCUGGUAUUGUCAGGCUGGCGCAUGCCGGCCUGAUGAAAGGAGACGCUGCAGGAGAGCCUUGCGUCCUAUUAGCUAGUUGGUGGGGUAACGGCCCACCAAGGCGAUGAUAGGUAGCCGGCCUGAGAGGGUGAACGGCCACAGGGGGACUGCAAUACGGCCGUUACUCCUACGGGAGGCAGCAGUGGGGAAUAUUGGACAAUGGGGGCAACCCUGAUCCAGCAAUUCUGUGUGCACGAAGAAGGUUGUCUGAUUGUAAAGUGCUUUCAGCAGGGAAGAAGAAAGUGACGGUACCUGCAGAAGAAGCGACGGCUAAAUACGUG
rnacentral:rRNA from 1 species